ACCUUUACCCCUUUUACCCGCCUAUGUAGAGCUAUUGCUUGGUGGGAGGUUCAACAAAUUGUUAAGCAGAUUGUGGAUUUGGUCAUACUAGUCCAAAUUAACGCUAUAAUUGUGCUAUUACUCGUACUAAAUCUGAUAAUUAUUUGUACGCGUUUAAUCUGACGGUUACAAUGUAAAAAAAUUAGGCGUCAAUCUUGUGUUCGUCAGAUUAAGAAAAUGCCUACAAAUAAGUGUUACAUUAAGUUAUAGAAAAAAUAUAGCAUUACUUGGACAAAAACGACAAAAUCCACAAACUGCUUCACGAUUUUUUAACCCUCCACCAACCACCCGAAAAUUAAUAAAAAAAAUGUAGACGCUUUCCUGUUCCCUGAAAAAAAAAACUAUAUAUAUAUUUUUUCUUAUUAUCUAAUAUAAUAUUUCGAUUCUUACGACGCUCGAGUAACUACACAUUUAGCAUCGUCGGCUCCCCUACUAUCUGUUAUCAAAAACUCUAGAGUUAUGUAGUUUCGGGGUUCGGUUCGGGAGCAAACCAGAGCAAACAGAGAAUGGUGUUUUCAAAAUAGGCUCUCUAUACCCAAACAUACUUUUUGGUACCUAUACGUCGCCUUAAAAUAAAAACAGAAUGUCAAAACUGUAAUUUGGCAUGAGAGCAUAUUCUUUAAAUUAAAUUUAUUGUGUUUAUCAAUGUUUUUAUAAAAGUGUAAUAUUAUAUACUUACCUACCCAUUGAUGAUGAAUGAGGAGUUAAUAAAACCUUAAACUGCUUCCGAGUUACUUGCAAAGUUUAUAUUCAGCAACUUAUACUUUGAGAAAAUAGGCAAUACUCAGAAGUUGUCGAUUUGGAAUUCGAAGAUGGUUUGUGUCUCCGAGACAAUGGCAAUAUUGGCUGUUGCAUCGUUUUUUGCUUGCCUACCCUCUUUGCGUCAAGUGGUCAGCAAUGGAAUCAAGAAGUGUUUUAAGAAAUAAUAUAAGGAAAUAGGCACUUGGAGAAGCGGCAAGCCUGGCACUGGUUCCGACGGGUGACGUCCACAAUACAGCGCCCACUCUCUUUACACACGUAGUCUAAGUUUCUGCAGGCGACAAAAUUUAAAUAUACACAGUAUAUUCCCGUAUUCUCCCUGAAGUGGUUUCCGUGUUCAAGUUCCGGUGCCUUAUGACGAAUUUCCCACGGAGUUCCUGAGGGAAGUGAGGGAACGUGCCUAAGCCAUUAUUUACCAAUUACGCUUUCGAGCCAAGUGUGCGUACAUACAUUUUCAUUCUUUUGCAAGAUGUGUUGCAGGGAAACUCAGACUUAAAAAAGUUAUGUCGAUGUCCUUAAAACAUCAAAAAUGGUAGUCAAAUAACUCAUUAAGAUAUUUUCAAGUUUUUAAAGUCCUAUCCAAUGAUGUGCUUGUAGAUAAUUUGGAUAAUAAAUUUUUUACCUUUGCUUUUAUUGUAUACCUACCUACCGUUACUAACAUAAUGAAAUACCCACUUCUUUUUUUAUAUUUAUGAAAAAAUGUGCUUUAAUUUUUAUGGGUCCUAUAGACCCUAUAGUUCGCUUUUUUAGCUUUAGAAAUAAGGUAAACAAUUUUGAUGUGUCUUUUAAUUGAAAAACAAUUAUGAAUCUAAUACGAUAAUUUAUAUUCUUCUGCUUUCAUAAGUAAUAGUUUCUGAUUUUUAAAAAGCGUUUUUCAAUUAAAUGAUAUGUCAAGAUUGCUUACCUUUUUGCAAGUUCUUUCUAAUGCUAAAAAAACGAACUAUAUAUAUUUAUUUAUACACAUUAGAUAGGUAAUUAGGUACCGUUUCUGUGUCAUGGCAUUUUAAUAAUAACAAUGGUUUCGGGAAUAUCAUAUGGCGUGCGCCAGUCACGCGUUAGUAUUUAGUGUCAUAAUCGCAUCGAUAUCGGAAUAUCGUUCGUAACUAAUUGUCAGCAAAAUGUUAACAUGUUUUCGUAAGCGUAGCGUGACUUUGGCCCACAAUUACGCCGUAUGUGAUGAAUUGCGGUAAAAUACAACCCUACUAUCUUAUCAAAGCCGUGUCAAAGUUCUAACCCCAUUGACAUAAAGUCGAUUACCGCUUGAUCUGGGACAGAGAUAGGUGGUUCAGUAUAGGUUCGAGAUAAUUAUCUAUUCAUAUGACGCGUGGCGGACCGAAAAUCAGGUGAAUAACGGAAAAUAAAGGAAAUGAUAGAUUGUUGGAUUUCCGUAUGGUCUAAUAUCUGUACAGUUCAACUAAUAGGUAUAGGUACCUAUUCCUUACGUUUAUGACUAGUUAUGAUCUAAUUUUUUGAGUCGAAAAUAAGUUGUAGGUACCUACUUACUCGAAACUAGAAAUAAUACAGUCUCCUCCAAUCAGUCAAUUCGAGACCGAAUUUUUGUACCUACCGCAAACAAAAUGGUAUGUACUACAUUUAAGAGCAAUGAUAACAGGGGCCCGUUUCUCAAAAGCUUGUAACUUGUAAUACAAUCAGUGUACCCUGUUUAUCAAACGCUUGUAACUUGUAAUACAAGUGGAAGUCCCUUUUUGACAGCUUUUGUUAGAAAGGGACUUCCAUUUGUUUUACAAGUUACAAGCUUUUGAUAAACAGGGCACUGGAUGUCACUUUUUGACAGCAUUUGUUAGAAAGGCACUUCCACUUGUACAUACUACAAGUUAUAAGCUUUUGAGAAACGGGCCCAGGUCACUUUCUUUUGAGCUCUUGUGGAAAAAAAUAUUCCAAAUUGAAACUGAAAAAAUGGCACUGGGACUUGGGAAGCAAGCAAAUUAAUAUGUGUAGUAUUUAAUAUAAUUAUCAAUACGCGUAAAUUAAAACUGCGAACACUGUCAACAAUUAGUAACGUAACAACCACAAUUAGGGCUCCUCUAGCAAACAUAUUGUAGGAGUUAUUAAAUCGGUGCACCUAUUAUUAUAGGAAGGGUCUCGGUUGCGUGCGGGGCGAAGUCAAAGGGCGACUGUGCGGCUGUGACAUUAGUUGAACCCCGACCCUAACGCCGCAAGUCUAUGGAGAGGUCAAAUACACACAUGGCUUUCUUGGAUGACUUUUUACCGACUUACAGCAAAAGAGAUUCUGUGUAAUUUUUGCAGGUACUAUAAUAACAUUUUAUGAGAUUGAUUUGAACGUUUUUUUAGGCCAAAAGUGCCUGAAAGUAUAAAAUAAAGGCAGGUAGGUUAUAGUCGUAACUAACAAAAACUAAGAUUGUUGUAGGUAGUUACAGUUGCCGAUUUGCGCACCAAUUUACUGGCUCACAUUGUAUCGUCCGUGAGGCUCGUCUUUACGAAGCAAUAUAGAAGUCAAUGUAUAUCAAAGUAAAUUUAAGUAUGUACUUAAGUUAGACUAACAUAACUCCACGGCCGAUUCGAGUCCGUUGCUGUACCUUUGGAACAUACUUAGAUGAGUGAAUCGAAAAAAAAUUUACAUAGUUAAAAGCACCUGUAAUUAAUUAUUUUAUUUUAAUUUUUUACAUGAAAGCGUGUUAGCUUAUGCUAUAGAUUUAUAUGUGUACAAAUUAAGUACAAUUAAUACAAUACAAUUUACAUAGGUAGUUAAUUUUCGUAACAUAAAUUGUCACGAAUGAACUCUCCAGUGAAUCCUAGUGUAGACAGGUGGGUAUGUAUGAAGAUGCUGAGUGUACACUGAUGUUAGGAAUUUUGAAGUCAUAAUAGUACCUACUUUAAUGUAUUAAAUUCCCUCAAAAUUAUCUGUUAUAUCUACUUAUAUACUGACUAAACUACUUAUACGGAUAAAUUUAUCAAUUUCAUCGCGUUCUAGAUUAUAAGAUUCUUGACUAAUAUCUGCAGCUAUCAAUUUGAUCUUGUCAUAUUGGGAAUUACAAGGAUAAGGAAAUAUAGAAGACUGAUAAUAUACAUACGACGCCGACGUCCGACUCAAAUAUGUCACAUAUCUCAUAAUUCUUAGGGUCCCGUAGUUAGCUAGAAACCCUUACAGGGGCUGGAUUUAUGAAUUUUGAUCGCUCGAUUUCGUCAUUCGAAAAUCUGUGGUGAAAAUGGGUAAACUAGUCUGUUUGAGAUCCUGAAAACGGUAACAAUAAAGAUACUACUCCUAAAAAUACGUGUGAUACCUCAUUAGAUUCGUCAUGAUGUCCAGAAAAAUGUAUUUGAAGACUUUUGAUAUUUUUUGUGUGUAUUACCCCCAAAAAAUA